GGGGCGGGGCAGGGCUCGCCGCAAAGCCUCUUAAGCACCUCCAACCGCUUUGAGGCUGUUUUGGGGAUUCCUCAGCUACAGUGCGGGGCGGAUUGUGUUUCGUUUUCCGGCCGUAGUGCUGCUGUGGUCGGAGAUCUGCGCGAGGGGCUGCGUUUGCAAAGAAACCUCGGGGUUCUGUUGAACGUCUUUUGUGUUUUUUCAGGUAGCAGCGACGGUGCACGCAGAGCGGAUCAUCCCGGCCCAGUAAGCGGUGCCGGCCGUGUUGAGCGCUCGGCACGGAGACGUUGAGGUCUGGCCGCUUGCGGCGUGAGGCCGCUGGGUUUCACCCCCCGUCCCCCCCUUUCCUCCUGUGUGUCGAGGCCGGCGCAGGGCUGCCGUCGUAGGACUACCGCUGGGCUCUUCCAGUUUCUCUGAGGCGGAGCGCCGUCGCUGCCCGGUUUCCAAAGCAUCUUCGGAAAGGGCCACCGCUCCGCUCCCCGAGUCCCGACGCGGCCCUGCGGCGCUCGCACCCCCCCAGGCUUUUUCGGCGGGCGCUUCGGUUCCUCCCGCCUUCAUCAGUAGGAGUGAGAGGGCUGGGGCCGUAUUCCUUCAGCCCAUGUGCUGCUGGGAUAAGAAGCGCUGCCGAAGGCUGCUCGAACUUCACUGUGUUUCUGCAGGUGGAGCAAGGGCCGUGCCGGAGCCUCUCGUCGGCCCAAACCGGAGGGCGUUUGCAGUCCCCAGUUAUGUGUAAUUCGGCAGCACUAUCCCGUUGCUAUCGCGGAGCCGCCGCGGGACGACCUGUGUGACUGGGAUGCUCUUGUGGACGCCGCUAUUCUUGGUAGCACAGCCCGGCGCUGCGGCGGCGGGGUUCGUGUGAUGAAGCCGAACAGACCGAGGAGGAGAAGCGGAGAGCUCGGCAGCGGGGAGACGUGGGUAGUGUCAGCGGGCCGUCCGUUAUGGAGCGGGGCGAGGAAGACGGCUGGAAGCAAGGAGAUGGAAGCCACCCCCUUCCCCUGGCCAUAUGUUGUGCAGGAAGACAAAGUCCAGUGGACUCCAAAUAUCAGGUAAAACCUUCUUGACUGAUGUCCUGGUCUGUGACUGAAGGCACUGUGUGAAGUCAUUUACUGUGCUCUGGGGAGCACAAGGGGUUUUUGCUUUGGAAAGGGCUCAGGUAAGCAGCUGGAGAUGAAAUGCUGCUGCAUUGCGCGUCCAUCCAGGUAUGUGCUGUGUAUGCAAGGGCUGUUCCACUGCAUCAGCAACCUGAAGAGAAUGAGACUGUUAGAAAGGAGCUGAGUUAAUGCUCUUGGUGACUAUUUUGGCAACUACUCCCGGGGAAGAAAGAUUUCUAAUAGGAAACUAGAAGAUGCAUAUGUUCAGAAUCUUCCGUCCUGAGAAAUCUACAGUAAGGCCAAAACAGUCCUUUAUUUUCAAGGAGAUGUAGAAAAUGAUCCAUCUUCUUGUGGGGAAAAGGUUUUUACUUUGAUUGUAUUGAAGGUAAUGCCUCAUAACUUGCACCAAGUUGAAUUGGUGGGCAGGCAACUUAAACCUUACAUUGUAAAAGCAAAUUAGUAACAAAUGAGGUCUCCCUCCAAAAGGCACAUCUUGCACUUCAUUUAGCUUCCUGUUGAAGCAAAAUGUGUAGGAGGACUCAAAUAUAACGAACUGGGUUCUCAUUUUUAGGUGUGCCCCAACACUUCUGCUAACAACAAAGUUUGCUUCUGUGUAGUGGGAAGUGAGUGAUGAUACAUUUAUUAUAUGGAUCAAUUAUCAUGCAACAACUGGUUCUGUGUUUCUGUGACUAGAUUUGCUGGCUGCAGCUGUUGAGGUGCAGUGGAUACCAGUCUGCAUUCAGCUUCACUUAACAUGAGAAACCAAUCAAUGCUCACUGAGCACUAAGAAAAAGGGAUGCACCAGCAUUUCUGCACCCCAGCCUUACUGACUUGCUGCUGACAUCAGCUUAUUCAGCUUGGGAAACAAGAAAGGGAGCAAAAUCGCCCCUGCUGUGAUCCAGCCCUUUGGUGUUGGAUGUUCUGUAGGAGACUUAAAAGCAGGACUGACUUAAUAACAAGUAGUUUUGAAGUAGAUGAUCUGUAGAAAUAGAAAUCAGCAGAUUUGCAUCACUCACCACAUGAAAAUACGUUUCCACUCUUUGUAUCAUUGAAGCUGAAUUACUGAGUGUCAUCCUUCAUUCAAUUGGGUGGAGCUGCCCCCAUGUGAAGGCAGCUGCGCAUCCUGGGAGCAGAAAAGCAGUAACUGUCUCACAAUGAAAAAGCUCUGGUUCCAUUUAAGUGUAGCUGACUGCCAUUUUGCUCUAGUUUCUUUCAAGGUAACUUCAACUGGGGCUUUUUAGUGAAACCCUUUGUGUGAAACCUUUGUAACUAAGUUAUUUCUUGAACCUUUAUCCCGAACAGACCAAACUGUGGCAAGCACAACCAACAUCAAGCCUGUUUUUAUGUACUGGACAUAAGAGAAAGCAGUAGGAGAAGUAAGGCAAGAAGAUGGUUUCAGAUAUGGACUUGCAUCUCUUACUUAUAGUACAAGCCAUUAAAAAUACCCAGGCAUACUCAACUCAGAAGUCAGGCACAGCUGCUUGCUGUAGAGAAGCAGAGCUGCUCAUAGCGCUAAAUGUAUUUCUCAAGGUAGGAGAUCACACAGCUUUGUGAGCCCUGCAGAAGUGCACAGGAAUGGCUCAAGCAGCUCCCAGGGGAGAACAGCUGAGCUUGGUUGUUGGUAGCGCUGGGGGGAGGCAGCUCUGAGGCAGCUGGGCUGGCAGCCUUCCUUACUGCUCUGUUUGUAACCAGAGACUGAUGACAUAAUGUGGUCAUACAGACAGUUGUGUUCAUUAUGUUCUGGUCUGACACACUGAACCCUCAUUGAUAGUGGGAGAGGAGCUCAAUGCAGAGGUCAUACUUAGAAAAGCUGCAGCAAGAAUUUUCUUGAUGCCAAAAUGGGGCUGUUACCUACCUGAUAAGACACCUAAUGGCCUUAUCUGUAAGAACUGAUGAGCUCAUUGCCAGAUGGAUAUGUCCUUGCAGUGCCAAUUGUUCUCCUCAAUCUCAGUGUGUUAUACUUAAUAUACCAGGACCAAUCCUUUAUGGCAGCACAACUAAUUCCUAGCACACUGUCGUGGUCUGCUUGAAGAGUUCUGAGCUUUCAUUGCCCUCAGACCAUUCUGUGCCAUUCCUGUUCCUGCAGCUGGGCCUGCAUGAAUAUGUCAGACCUUGUCAUGCGGGUGGAUCCAGAUGUGAGAUCUUAGGGCUGUUCACUCUCCAUCUGAUGGAUGGGCUCACACUGAUGUUAUGCUGUAGAGCUGUCACAAACCAUGCGCUCAGAUGGAUGUUUAACAACACUCACAUGCUUCCCUCAUGCUGAAGGAUUUCUUGCUUUGCUCUGGUAAGAGAUGACUCUUCUGCAUUGUUGUCUCAAGGCUUGCUGAGAGACACAUAUGGUCGAGUCCAAGCAAGUCCUGAUUGAGGAUUGGGAAAUCCUUCAUGUGAGGGACACGGAUGGACCAGGCCAGGGGCAGCGAGGGGGAGAGAGAGAAGGCAGAGCUCAAUGGCCAGGAAGCAGCCUUUGGUGUGGGCUUAUCUGGAGGGAGAUAACAGCCAUCUCAGGGCAGUGCUCACAUGGCUGUUAGCUGAGCACCCAGGAGUGCCAUGUUGACAGAAAGAGGAGGAUAAAGGGGUGAACAACCAUGAGGUUGGGUUUCUGACUGCAGAUUUCUCAUGAGCUGAGAGUUGCAUGCUGAAGCAGAACAAGGAGGUUUCUGCCACGAGAAGCCUCACAGCCUGCCUCUUCCUCCUGUAUUUGCUCUGCACUCUCCCUUCUUGCUGCCCAAGGCUGACCACUCUGCUGCUGUUCCCCUAGAAGGUGUCUGCCAUCAGAUCCUCACUGCAGAAGCUCUGCAUGCUGAGGACUCUCCAGGCUCAGCUGCAGACAUGCUGCUUCCUCCUGGACUCCUGCCUGGCUCUUCUCAGUACCAGCACCUCCUUUGCUGCCCAACGCUACCUGUGCUGCUGCUGCUCCUGCUGUGCUUUGGCCCUGGCCUGUUGGGACAUAGUGCAAUGGGACUGCUGGAUGCUGCUGAUGGUGACCAUUUCUGCUCUAUGCAAUUCCUGUCUCUGUCUUUACUAUUGCCCGCCUUCCCUAUCAUUCCAAAUCGUCUGUUGUCUUCUUCCCAUCUCCCUGAUUAAGGUUUGUAAUAAACUUGGACCAACAUCUGCCCUGUUGUUUCUUAACCUCAGGCUGGGUAUGCAGAUUUUAAAGAACCUCCUCUCCUCCUGUCAAUUGGAGUGGGUGGCUGGUGGGUCGCUUAUGGGGCACUAUAUAUCCUUGUGGGGCACAAUGUACCCUUCAUGUGGGGGUAGUAUGGCUCACUGUGGGUCACUUAUGGGGCACAGAUGAGGACGUCCUGGACACGUGUUUCUUCUCUGGGCCCCAUUGAUCUCACUGAUAAUCCUGAGCCCCGUUGAUUAUGCUGUGCCUCAUUGCUCCCAUUAUUAACUCUGCUCCGUGUUCCCAGCCCAGAACUGCCUGCAGUACUCAUUGAGCACCUGAGGUUGGUUGCUGCCAGCCCAGAGAGCGCAGGUGGAAGCAAUGAAGCAGGUGGGGGGACAGGGUGGAGCCAGGCUGCAUCCCACCCUGAGCUCAUGGAGGGGCUGGAAGCUGAAGGGGAAGGGUCUGUGCCUGGGGGUUGCUCUGGCUGUUGGGUUGGGUGAGUGCUGAGCCUUGGUAAGGGUUCUAGUAGGAUUUGAUUGUUCGUUUGUGUUUGUCUUGACGUUUGUUUUCUGUUCUCUGGGUGGGUGCUGAUACCAGUGGUUUCUCUAAGCCUUCAAAGGACUCUGCUAAGGGGCUUGAAGGAUCCAGCAAGGAGCCAUAGCAAAGAACGAAGCUCUCUAGCUAUCCUUCCUGGGGUCAGGCAAGCUUUGUUGCUCUUCAAGCCUGUGUUGGCACUUGGGGAGGCUCUGUGGGCGUAGGCUCACCUUGUCCUGGUGCUCUGAGCUUUCUGCUCAUUCCCUAGGCUUUACAUCAUCUUUUCUAGAGGUUUUCAAGUAGCUGUGCCCAUUGGAACAAUAGGAGGUGCUGAAGAACUGGAGAGCAGUACAAGGCCUCUGCUGUGGAUCUUGGUGCUGACAUUGCCAUUGCAACUGGCUUGGUGCUCUACCUCUCUUGGGUCCCUUUUUGCCCUCCUCUCCUCUAUGCUCAUUUGCUCUCCUUUCUUGGGUCCCCUUUUGCCCCACUCUCCCCCGUGCUUUUUGUCCUCUUCGCUGCCUUUUGAACCUUUACUUUCCUGACCACCUGUUGGCCCUUUCCUGACCCCCUUUACCUUACAUUGUCUCUUUGCCUAUUUUUUUUUUCCACAUCUUUUUCAUUUUCUAUAUCUUUUCCUACUCUUCCUAUUUCCCAGCCAACUUCAUUUGCUUUUUUUUUCCCCUUUAGGUCCCACCCACCUGCUCCCCCUUUUUUAUAAGUAUUCUUUUCCUUUGAUUUUUCUGUUUCUCUUAAAUAUUUGUCCUUUGUUUCCUUGCUGGCCCUAUGGGAACUUAUAGGUGUGGGCCUGAAGCAGUGAUGGAGCACCUGGUGGGAGUGUGGACAGACCAGGGAGCACAGGUGGAAGCAAUUGUUCUGUGGAAUGGGGUGGAGUCAGGCUGCAUCCCUCCCUGAGCUCAUGGAAGAGCUGGCAGUUGCAUGGUGGUUGUAGAUGCCAGGAGCUUUCCUGAGUGGUGCAAGGACUCUACUGAGGAUCUCGGUGGACCCAGCAAGGAACUAAAGCAAACGAUGGACCCCAAUAUCCUCACUGCAUAAUGGCAGGCAAGCUCUAUUGCUCCCAGAGAGUGUUCUCUUCGGGCCAUUCAAUAGGAUUGGUGUUAGCUUGUUGGUCCAGCUUGACCAACACUCACCACAUCUGUCCCUGCACCAGCUGCCUUUAGGCGUCCAACAGGUGGCAGUGGAGAGCUAUGCCCCCCCCCCCAAGCGGUGCAAGGACUCUACUGAGGCUCUUGGCGGACACAGCAGGAACCCACAGCCAGAGAUGGAUGCCAAGAUCCACUCCUUCCUCUGUCUGGCAAGCUCUACUGACCCCGGAGGUCGUUCCCACGCUUGCAGGGGUCCUAUGGGCUUGGUGUCGGUUGUCGCUUGUGCUCACCUUGCUGUCACCGGGUGUUCAUCCUUUGCCCAUGUUUAGGGCUCCCCAGUUCUGGUGGGAUCUCAGUGCCUUCUCCUGAUCCCAGAGAACAUGGGUUUGUUCUCUUAUAUCCAGGUUCAGUAUUAUUUUCUGAUGUUACGCAAUGUUUCACUUUAUUUCAUGUUAUGGGCUGCCGAUGGAUAUUUCAUUGGGGUAUGCUGACCUAAAUGCAGACUGCUAUGCUCUGGCAGAGAGAGAGAUGCACAUAAAAGAGGCAGGCUCCAAAACAGGCUUUCGGUGAGUGUAGUGUAUGACUUGGGGAAACUAGGAUGAUCAUUACGAUUUCCUAGCUUGUGUUCUUCAGUUCUGCUUGUGAGGGUAUUUUCUUUCUUUCUAGGAUUGGAGACUCUACCACCCGGUAGUACUGGCCUUCCUGACCACCUUGGGUUGCAGCGUUAGAUGUGCUCUGAUCCUUGGAAACGAUGGCAGCAGAGAACUGUGACCCUUCAAGCCUACUGAGGAUGUUCAAGGACACAGCAGGAACCCGCAGCCAUACGUGGAGACCAAGAUCAACUCAUUACUUUGUCUGUUGAGCUCUGUUGACCCUAAGGUGGUUGUCACAUUUGCACAGGUCCUAUGGGCUUGGUGUUGUUAGCUUCUCCUUUUCCUUUUUCUAAUUCUUUAUUUUAUUCUUUCCUAUUCUGUACUUCCUGUUCAAAUUCUCAUUUGUUUCUGGUUUCCUUUUCCAAUUUGUUUUCUUUAUUUUUUUCCUUCCAAUGGAUUUUAAUUUCCUAUUUCUUCUUCUAAUUGAUUUUCUUUCCUUCAUUUUUCUUCAGUUCUUCCUUUGCCAUUUCUUUUGCAGAAUACUUCCUAAUUCUCUCACUCGAAUUCCAUUUCCCUUUCCUUUUCUCUCCUUUUUCUUUGUUUUUUGUUGUCAUCUUUUUCUGUUUCCUUUUCUUUCUUCCUCUUUCUUUAUUAUCCUUUUACUUUCCUCCUUCUUUUUCCUUUUCCUAAUUUAUCUUUUUUUCAUUGUUUUUCUAUGUCCCUUCCUCCCCCCUUUUCUCUAUUUCUCUACCCAUUUCCAUUUUCUUUAUAAUUUCUUGUCUUUUUUUUUCUCAGAAUUAUUUCUUAAGCCUCUUUCUCUCAACUUCUUCCAAUUCUUUCUGUUUGUGAAAUUUUUUUCUAAUUCCCUUUCUAAUCCUUUCUCUCUUUUGUUAAUUGGGUUUCCAACUCUGUUUUUUCUAUCCAAUUCCUUCGUACUCUUCUUCCUUUUUGUAUUAUUUUGCCCUGCCUUUGCCCACCUUCUCCCCUUAUUAAUUUUUUGCCCUUUCUAAUUUUUUUUCCUUAUAUGUUCAAAUUCUUUUUCUAAUUUUCUUCCAUCUUUUAAUUCGCUUCUUUUUUCAACAUGUUUUCCUUUUCAUUUUGUCUUCCUAAAUCAUUUCCUAUGUCUAAUUCUUUCUCAUUUUCUUGUUGUACUUUUCCAUUUUUCUUCAAAUCCCAAAUCUUUUUCCUUCUCAUUUGCUUUUCAAAUACUUAAUCCUUUUCAUUUUGUACUUCUCUUGCUUAUUUUUUACUCAUUCUUGGUCUUCUACCAAGCCUAUUUCUCAUAACAAGAUUUUCUUGUUCUCAUAUUCUACUUUUUUCAAAUUCAUUCUUUCACUUCAUUCUCCUCCAUAGUUUUUUACUUUUUCUUGUAUACAAUCUUUUUCUAAUACUUUUUCUCCUUGUCCUUACACCCGUCCUCACACCAGUUCCUUUUUAAAAUACUGAAAGAGGGAUCACUUACACUUUUCCAAGGACCAGUGCACAUCAAAAACUGCUACCUGAGGAGGUCAGGAAGGCCAGUACCAGCUGGUGGUGAAGUCUCCAAUCCUAGAAGGAAAGAAGAAACCCUCACAAGAGGUACUGAAUAAUGUGGGGAAGGGAAGAAUAGGGGUCAUUCUAGGAAACCAAAGUCAUACACAGAAGUCAUCAGAAGCCUGUUUUGGAGCCUACCAAAACGUUUUUGGAGCCUACCAAAACAUCUUAUUUGGCAUCACCCUUGGUCAACACAUAGCAGUCUGUAUUUGGGUCACCGUAGCUCCAACGAGGCCUAGAUUGGCAGCCUGGAAAACAAAGGGAACAAAGAGAAACACAGCAUAACAUGAAGAAAUGAUAGUGAACCUGAAAAUUAAGAGAACAAACCGGUGUGCUGUCAGAACAGCAGAAGGCACAGAGAUCCCAUCAGAACUGGGGAGCCCUAGGAAUGGGCAAAGGAAGAACACCCGGUUGUUGGGGUGACAGGCGGGGUUAAGGGUGGUGCAAUGGGAGGGAGACCGGGUCAUGGGUUUCCUGGGCGGUCGCGUGUCACGGUAUAUAACAGCUUGUUGCGCAGCAAUAAAUUGCCACAUGAGCUACGCUCUGUGAGUGCGUCUCUUGUGCCCCUGCGCGCGGAGGUGCAGACGCAGCGGUUGAAUAUGUCAUCAUAAGGGACACCAGUGACAGCAAGGUGAGCACAAGGGACAACCGACACCAAGCCCAUAGGAUCUCUGCAAGCGUGGGAAUGACCUCAGGGGUCAGCAGAGCUUGCCAGACAGAGGAAGGAGCGGAUCUUGGCAUCCAUCUCUGGCUGUGGGUUCCUGCUGUGUCC